CAUAAUUUUUUUUUUUUUCUUAUUUCUAAAAUAUUACAUUUAGCUUCUCUCUCUUUCUCUGAACAGACCAGAAGAACUGCCUAGAGCUCCAAAGAUCUAGCACUCAUUUUCUUCUUACUCCCAAUGGAUGCAGAAGACUUUAUCCACUCAGAAGUCUGUGUUGGCCAAAUCAAAGCCAACCAAAUUUUUACCAAAUAUUCCUGCUAAUUCUGAAAGUCAUCAUACUUCUAACGUACCUAAGAGGACCCACACACAUUCUGAACAGUCUCGAAGAAACCAUGCAACUGCUGAUCAACUAGAGAGAAGCUGCAUUAACCCUGACCCGCUUCAGAGAAGCCGCACCUCUCCUAACCAGCUUCAGAGAUUCCACGCAAGCUGUACUUCUCCCACCUUUUUUGACAAAGAUUGCACUCCACCUGACCUGCUUCAGUGAUGCCACACUUCCCCUGAUUCACGACAGAGAAAUGGUGCAACUAUUGAGCCAUUUUAGAGAGGCCAGACUUCCUCAGAUCCACUUCAAAGAAGUCACACAACUGCUGACUUAUUUCAGAGAGGCCGCAAUUCCCCUGACCUGCUUCAGAGAAGCUGUAUUUCUCCUGACUUGUUUGAGGGAAGUAAUACUCCGCCUGACCCAUUUCAGAGGAGUCACUUCUCCCCGUCCCACUGCAGACAAGCUGCACUUCCCCUGAUCUGCAUCAGAGAGGAAAUGUUUACCAACAGCCACAUGGACCAUUAAGACCCCAAGCUUUUCUUGGUACAUAACCAAUUUUCCUUCCAGUGAGGAGAUCCAUAUCGGGGAUUUUUCAGAUCUGCUGCUUUUGCCGAUACCCAUGAUCAUUCCUACCUCGCCAAACACAGCCGUUGAGCACUAUCAAGCUUCAUCGCGACAGCUGCUGCUCUUCUCACCAAGCCAUACGUCGUGCCCAAUAGACUGUGCAAAGCCCCGAGCUCGCCUCGCUCAAGACCGGGCUCUCCUUGAGUGCCGGCUCGCAGCAUCAGCAGGCAUUCAAUCAGUCUGGGCCGCACCCCAGUUCUUACCCGCAGCAAGCCUCUCUCACUUCCCGAUUUUCUGGCCGAGGCGCAGUUUGAGGCUGCUUCCUCUAGCAGCACAAACCGUUGUAAAUCAAUACAUUUUCAUGAGUAAGACGCUAAAUACAGGUUUUGCUGCUAGAAAGCAGUGUGGGAGCUACGUGGAGUUCCGAUCACAUACGUAUGCGAAAAUUUUAGAUCCGAUUUGAGCCUCGGAUGCGUUCAAAUAUUUGAACUUCUGCGACUAGACCAUAUGCGAACACCCGACCGGAUGUAAUGUAUUCUAAUCAAAACUAUCGGUGCAAGGUCAGAAUUACCAAUAUUUUGUUAACUUUAACAUUAUUCUUUAAACACUAUUUCUGUAAAAUGGUGGUUUAUAAUAAUUAUGGGAGAAAUAAUUAUUAAGCCAUUAUUUCCAUUGAUUAGCAACAUAAAUCCUACUGUUUUUAUUUUGGGGGGUCAUCUGAUUUGUGACGAUGUAUUCAUACAUUAAUUAUAUUCAUUAAAACUAUUAAUUUUACGAUGGUGAAUAUGCCAAGGUAACGGUUGUUGCACGACCAGUUUAAAAGUUCUGCGCGACUGCCGCUAGAAGGAGAAAUGCGACAAUUGUGUCCGAAUGUCCUGUGCAGUGGAAAGAGGGCUUAACAUUUGUUAAAUGAGGUCAUGACGUAGUUCUGUCGGAUGACGAUAAUUUUUUUACCAUGAAGCCAAGGCAUUUUUUCCAGUCGUCAUCCACACUGAAAUGUCCAAAGACAUUUGCCUUAUCGUGCAUGUUUAAACCUCACUGAGAUAAUACAGACAUAAGUUUCAUGCAAUUAUUCUGGCAGGACCAAUUUAUUUAUGGACAUAUUUCACCAUUUACUUGCGUGAUCACUUAGAAUUUAUCUAAUACACCACUACCCUCGUGUUUUGCCGCAGGACAGCAAGUGUGAGUAAAAUUCUGUUGUCUUUCUUGGACUGAAAUACGAAAAGUGUUAAAG